rnacentral:lncRNA from 1 species
UAAAUAAUAUGAAAAUGACAGCGCGAUAAAAUGUAAGGCUCGAUUUUCGAUUUUAUUCUACAAAACACCACAAUAUCAUAUAACACAACUUAAAAGUGAUAUUUCAUUCUAAUAAAAAUACAAAAUCAAGAAACAUACAUGAUACAACAAGAUAUAAAAAGUUCUUUAAACAAAAUUAAAGCGUUCCAUUUUAUUUAUUUUAUUAUGAGGAAUUAUUUGAAUAAUUAUAUAAUCACCAUCUACCCCUUGAUCUUCCAAAGAAGUAACAAGCAAUGGCUAUUAAAAUCAAUACCAAUAUAGCCAAAGGCAAUGAUAUCACUAGUACAUGCAUCUUCUCUUUUUAUAAUAUGGUAUAUUCCUGCAUUCAUACAAAAAUAUUUUUUUAUUAAUUCCAAUCAAUUGUAAGUAAGCUCAAAUUAAUUUUAGAUAUGCCAUAUCUUUAAAAUAUGCUUUAAAUUCAUACUUCCUUUGCUUUAAUUUAUAUGACAUUCAAAUUUCGAGAGUAAAUUUUUUUUAAAUGCAAUUUAUUCAUAUAUUUUUAAUGUCUGAAUGUGCGAUCAAAAUAAAAUAUUUAGUCUCAAAAUUUAAAACUAUAUCAUAUAAAUUGAGAUAAAAUUAUAUUUCAUAAUUUAAAAAUUAAAAAAAAGGUGCAAAACUCCUCCUUUACCACAAGACAAAUUAAGAAGAUAGGUACAUACCUUGUCUAGUAUCCAAACUACUUCGAUUGAACUUUUCUUGUAUUUUCCUUUUAAUUACAAAUCCCAAAACUCACAUAAAUAAAAAUGGAAAGUAAGAGUUUAAGAAAUUUUAGUAGACACAAAAAGGAAAAAUUGGAGAGUUCAUAUGAUAUAAGCAAAUUAAAAGAAUAAAAAAUAAAAAUGACAAAAGGAAAGGAAUUACCAUAAAGUGACACGAAAUGCUUUCAACUUUCUACGUGUAUGAGUUUAGACGAGGUUCCUUCCUUGUCAUGACAACCGCGCUC